AGAUGUGAGAGCAAUCCAGCUGCAAGGUGACACACCCUGUUGGUGACCAGGGUUGAUUCAACGGAUCCGGCUGAGUAGGAGCGUGUCCCCUCCCUCCCUCACUGCUCCACGUGCGUUCUGUGUGUACUCAGUGGAAGAGGAUGACCUUCCCGGAUGGAGGAGGAUCAUUCUUCACUGGAGGAUACACAAGUAGCUACACUCCCCAGCUGGAACCUCCAAACCUGCCCCCAGGAAAGUUCCCAGGUGAUUCUAAGCAUAGCCAAGCUUGAGAGCCACUGCUUCAAGCCAAACUGAGAUCAAGGAUUG
rnacentral:snRNA from 1 species